rnacentral:rRNA from 1 species
CCUACGGGAGGCAGCAGUAGGGAAUAUUGGGCAAUGGGCGAAAGCCUGACCCAGCCACGCCGCGUGCAGGAAGACGGCCCUCUGGGUUGUAAACUGCUUUUAACUGGGAAGAAAGAAGCCCAUGCGUGGGAAGUUGACGGUACCAGUUGAAUAAGCCACGGCUAACUACGUGCCAGCAGCCGCGGUAAUACGUAGGUGGCAAGCGUUAUCCGGAUUUAUUGGGUUUAAAGGGUGCGUAGGCGGUUCAAUAAGUCAGUGGUUAAAGGUAGCAGCUUAACUGUUUUACAUGCCACUGAUACUGCUGAACUUGAGUUGACAGAAGGCAGAUAGAAUUUCUGGUGUAGCGGUGAAAUGCUUAGAUACCAGAAGGAAUACCGAUUGCGAAGGCAGUCUGCUGCAGUCACACUGACGCUGAGGCACGAAAAGUGCGGGGGAGUACAAACAAGGAUUAGUAUACCUCGGUAGGUCCGCCACAAGUAAACGAAUAGAUUAACUAGUAUGUUGGUUGGCGAGCCAGUGUCCGAACGGGAAAACCGGAAAGUAAAGUAAAUACCACCUAGGGGAGGUACGGCCGGCCGAACGGUAGGAAAACGUUAAAAUUAAGAAGUUAGUACGGCGUGAGACGUGCCGAACGGACGACACGAGGGAGGAGG